GCGUUGCCUGAUGUGAUGACGAAGGCCUGCGGCUCCUCGAUGGGAGAUGGCGACGACACACCCUCGAGCGGCGUGGUUACGACAGCCUGCGGCACCUCGACCGGCGUCGACCCCUCGGGCGACGUUGGAAAAUUGGAAGAAGCAAUCACGCGUCAGGUGCUAAUUGCCGGCUAAUGUGAUCUCGGGUGCAGGCAGCUUUUUGCAAGUGCAAACUUGCGCGUGAUCUCGGUGGCAAUCAGUCCUAUGCAAGCUUGGCAAGUGUACGAGGAGGUAAUCAUGCAUUCCUUUUUCAAAUUGAGGCAUUCUUUUGGAAACUCCAAAGAAGGGAACACAAACCUGAUGCCUCGUCGGGAGAUGGAUUUCUGCUGUGGGUACGGCAGGCGGGUAGAUG
rnacentral:lncRNA from 1 species